rnacentral:rRNA from 1 species
CGGAGGAAAAGAAACUAACAAGGAUUCCCCUAGUAACGGCGAGUGAGCGGGAUGAGCUCAAAUUUAAAAUCUGGCGGCCUCAGGUCGUCCGAGUUGUAGUCUAGAGAAUCGUUUUCCGCGUUGGCCUGUGUACAAGUCCCUUGGAACAGGGCGUCAUAGAGGGUGAGAAUCCCGUCCUUGACACAGACUACCAAUGCUUUGUGAUGCGAUCUCGAAGAGUCGAGUUGUUUGGGAAUGCAGCUCAAAAUGGGUGGUAAAUUCCAUCUAAAGCUAAAUAUUGGCGAGAGACCGAUAGCGAACAAGUACCGUGAGGGAAAGAUGAAAAGCACUUUGGAAAGAGAGUUAAACAGUACGUGAAAUUGUUAAAAGGGAAACGAUUGAAGUCAGUCAUGCUUUCCGAGACUCAGCCGAUUCUGUCGGUGUACUUCUCGGUUGGCAGGCCAGCAUCAGUUUCGAUCUGUGGAAAAGGUUGGAGGGAACGUGGCAUCCUCGGAUGUGUUAUAGCCCUUCUUCGAAUACAUAGAGCGGGACUGAGGAACGCAGCGCGCCUUUUAUUAGGUUGGCCCUCGGGUACAUACGCGCUUAGGAUGCUGGCAUAAUGGCUUUAAACGACCC